rnacentral:rRNA from 1 species
CUACGGGCGGCUGCAGUGGGGAAUCUUAGACAAUGGGGGAAACCCUGAUCUAGCCAUGCCGCGUGAGCGACGACGGCCCUAGGGUUGUAAAGCUCUUUCAGCAGGGAAGAUAAUGACGGUACCUGCAGAAGAAGUCCCGGCUAACUCCGUGCCAGCAGCCGCGGUAAUACGGAGGGGACUAGCGUUGUUCGGAAUUACUGGGCGUAAAGCGCGCGUAGGCGGAUUGUUAAGUCGGGGGUGAAAUCCCGGGGCUCAACCCCGGAACUGCCCUCGAUACUGGCAGUCUUGAGUUCGAGAGAGGUGAGUGGAAUUCCGAGUGUAGAGGUGAAAUUCGUAGAUAUUCGGAGGAACACCAGUGGCGAAGGCGGCUCACUGGCUCGAUACUGACGCUGAGGUGCGAAAGCGUGGGGAGCAAACAGGAUUAGAUACCCUAGUAGUC